UUUGAAUGGAAUCCAAGAAGUGUUAAUUGAAGGAAUAUUGAACUAGAAGAUUCCAAGUGUAGUAAAGCAGAGUCCUCACCAUGUGUUCAUCAAACAUUAAUCAAGCUGUUACUAUGUGCCCGGUUCUGGCCUAAACAUGGGGGUAUGAAGAUAGGUAAGCUGCUGCCUCCAUCCAAGAGGCCCACGAUAUUUCCUCAGCCUCGCCAGAAAAGUAGGAGCAGUAUUUCCACAUCCGGCGUACAGAUCAAGAGAAAGAGAAGAGAGGCAACUGGCGUGGGCUGUCCACUGUGUUAGCUCUCCACUGCUCCCUCUUCCUGCAGACCCAAGACACACAAGGAAGCAGAUUGUAAUAAACCCAGCAUAUGGGUACCUCCUGACAACGAGAGGGUUUAGCCACAGCACUGUUUGGAGCUCUUGAAGAGCAAAACAGCCUGGAGGAGGAAGGAAGAAUGGGGUUUCUGUAAAGUGACACUGAAGGAGAAAGGCUCCUUGGCCUCCGUCAGAGGUGCUUUCCUUCCCAGGACUCAGCAGCCACCAGUCCCUGGCUCACCUAGAGUUCAGCAAGCUUGCAGGAGACGUGGGCCAUGUGGCAGUCCAGCACCGGCAUGGAUCUGUCCCGGGUGAUUCAAGACUAUACCCUGGCGGGGAAGGAGGAUGGAAUUAGAAGAGAUUGGAUGGCAUCUGUGAUCUGGGGCCAACCCUCAACCAACCUGGGGCUUCCGCUGAACUGGGACUAAUUUCUAAGAAGCAUUUCCAUCACCACCAAGCACCAAGGCCCUUGGCUUCCUGGGCACCUACCUGCACCACAAAGCUGCUGGCCUCUAUGGGGGGCUCGUUCUUGCUGUCUCUGACCACGUUGCCGUGUCAGAUGUCCUUCACGGACACAUUCUUCACGUUGAAGCCCACUUUGUCACUGGGCAGGGCCUCGGGCAGGGCCUCGUGGUGCAUCUCCAUAGACUUGACCUCAGUCGUGACGUUGCUGGGGGCAACGGUGACUACCAUGCCAGGUUUCAGGAAGCCGGUCUCCACAUGGCCCAAGGGCACAGUGUCAAUGCCUGUCCAAUGGGAAGAAGGGCAGUCAGAAAUAUUCUAGAUCCACCCAGUGAGAACUGGCUUCUGGGGAAGUCCCUUGGUCCUGGGGCUCAAGGACCAAGGCCACCUACAGGACUGGCUGUUUCUUCUGUGUAUCAGAUAAUUUGGAAACGCCGGGGGCUUUACACUUUAUCACAGCUCAGAAGUCAGGAUCUGAACCCUGGCAAGUCCUGGCAAGUCCAGACCUCAUUUUCAAUUCCUUCAUUCCUCAAGAAGCCCUGUCGCCUCACCUCCAAUCUUGUACACGUCUUGCAGAGGCAGCCUCAGGGGCUUGUUGACAGGGCGAGUGGGCAGGAGGAUGCAAUCCAGAGCUUCCAGCAGUGUCACCUGGGUGGCGUUUCCCUCCUUUCGCUCAACCUUCCAGCCCUUGAACCAGGGCAUCUGCGGGAGGAUGCAGAACGUAGUGGAGGUGAGCCUGGGGCAUUGCUCUCAGCACACCCACCCCAGGGCCAGGACCAGGACC